CUAAGGUAGCGAAAUUCCUUGUCGGGUAAGUUCCGACCUGCACGAAUGGCGUAACGACUUCUCCGCUGUCUCGACCAUGAACUCGGUGAAAUUGCAUUACGAGUAAAGAUGCUCGUUACGCGCAGAAGGACGGAAAGACCCCGGGACCUUUACUAUAGCUUGGUAUUGGUGUUCGCUUGGACUUGUGUAGGAUAGGUGGGAGACUGUGAAGCAGGGGCGCCAGCUCUUGUCGAGUCGUCGUUGAAAUACCAUUCUGGUUCACGCGGUCAUCUAACCUCGGCCCGUAAUCCGGGUUGGGGACAGUGCCUGGUGGGUAGUUUAACUGGGGCGGUUGCCUCCCAAAAAGUAACGGAGGCGCUCAAAGGUUCCCUCAGCCUGGUUGGUAAUCAGGUGGCGAGUGCAAGUGUACAAGGGAGCUUGACUGUGAGACCGACGGGUCGAGCAGGUGCGAAAGCAGGAACUAGUGAUCCGGCCAUGGCACGUGGGUGCGUGGUCGCUCAACGGAUAAAAGGUACCCCGGGGAUAACAGGCUGAUCUUGCCCAAGAGUCCAUAUCGACGGCAUGGUUUGGCACCUCGAUGUCGGCUCGUCGCAUCCUGGGGCUGGAGUUGGUCCCAAGGGUUGGGCUGUUCGCCCAUUAAAGCGGUACGCGAGCUGGGUUCAGAACGUCGUGAGACAGUUCGGUCCCUAUCCUCUGUGCGCGUAGGAAACUUGCGGAGGCCCGUCCCUAGUACGAGAGGACCGGGAUGGACGAACCUCUGGUGUGCCAGUUGUACCGCCAGGUGCACGGCUGGUUGGCUACGUUCGGAAGGGAUAACCGCUGAAAGCAUCUAAGCGGGAAGCCUGCUCCAAGAUGAGGUUUCCAACACCAGUAAUGGUGUGAAGGCCCCCGCCAGACUAGCGGGUUGAUAGGCCAGAGGUGGAAGCACAGCAAUGUGCUCGCGAGCCGACUGGUACUAAUUGGCCGACACUACACGAA
rnacentral:rRNA from 1 species